AAGAUCAAAGCACAGGGUCUGGGCUGACCUUCAGCACGCCCAGCACACCCAAAAUAGCCUCUUCAUCCGCCGUCAGUGGGGGUGAAAUGAAAGACUUUGUUAGUAUAGCCUUUCAAUUUGGAAAUAAAGG